UGCAGUUUCCUCCCUCC
rnacentral:miRNA from 1 species